rnacentral:tRNA from 1 species
GCAGAAGUGGCGGAAAGGCAGACGCGCUAGAUUCAGGUUCUAGUGCUCGCAAGGGCGUGUGGGUUCAACUCCCAUCUUCUGCA